rnacentral:rRNA from 1 species
GACGAACCGUGCGAACGUUGUUCGGAAUCACUGGGUCGUUAAAGGGCGCGUAGGCGGCCGUCCGAGUCCGGGGUGAAAUUCUUUCGGCCCUAAACCGGAAAAGGGCCCUGGAUACUGGACGGCUCGAGGGGGGUAGGGGCAAGCGGAACUUCCGGUGGAGCGGUGAAAUUCGUAGAUAUUCGCAAGAACACCAGUGGCGAAGGCGGCUCACUGGCCCGGUACUGACGCUGAGGUGCGAAAGCGUGGGGAGCAAACAGG